UGGUCAUACUCAGUACUAGUAUUCUCUAACAACUAUCCACACUCAUCGCCCAGUGUCUCUACACUAUAGACUAGAGAUCCAUCUAUUCCGAAGAAAAUGAUCUGUGCGUCAGUCUAUCUAGAUCGAUCACCAUCCUCAUGAUAAUCCUAUGAUCGGGAGCAUUUAGAAAUUAAAUAUAUGUCUCUAAUUUUUAACACCUUGAGAAUAUGUAUCGAAAGUUAAUUCCAUGGAUGAUUCAAGGAU
rnacentral:lncRNA from 1 species